rnacentral:rRNA from 1 species
AUUGAACGCUGGCGGCAUGCCUUACACAUGCAAGUCGAACGGCAGCACGGGUGCUUGCACCUGGUGGCGAGUGGCGAACGGGUGAGUAAUACAUCGGAACGUACCUUAUCGUGGGGGAUAACGCAGCGAAAGCUGUGCUAAUACCGCAUACGCCCUGAGGGGGAAAGCGGGGGAUCGCAAGACCUCGCGCGAUUAGAGCGGCCGAUGCCUGAUUAGCUAGUUGGUGGGGUAAAAGCCCACCAAGGCGACGAUCAGUAGCUGGUCUGAGAGGACAAUCAGCAACACUGGGACUGAGACACGGCCCAGACUACUACGGGAGGCAGCAGUGGGAAUUUUGGACAAUGGGGGCAACCCUGUUCCAGCAAUGCCGCGUGAGUGAAGAAGGCCUUCGGGUUGUAAAGCUCUUUUGUCAGGGAAGAAACACCGGCUCUAACACAGUCCGGGAAUGACGGUACCUGAAGAAUAAGCACCGGUUAACUACGUGCCAGCCGCCGCCGUAA